rnacentral:tmRNA from 1 species
GGGGGCGACUGGCUUCGACGGGGAAGCAUAGGCGCAAGCAGCGUGUCGAGGUCCCAUUGCCUCGCUAAACAAAUGGGAAAUUUCAACUGCCAACACACAGUUGGCCCUAGCUGCAUAAACUGCGGCUACGUUCUUCCCGCCUUUGUCUGCCGAGGUGGAGAAGGGCGUCGACAAAGGCAGGCUGGCUUCCUCUCUUGUCCGUGGAGAGGAAGUGAGAUCUAACGGGCUGGUGCCCUCCGUAUCCUGUCUUUCGGAGACAGAGGGUGCGAGAACCAAAAGAUAGACUACGCACGUAGCGGCUUACGUUGACACUUCUUCGGACGCGGGUUCGAUUCCCGCCGCCUCCACCA